UGGGGAAUUUUGCACAAUGGGGGAAACCCUGAUGCAGCGACGCCGCGUGAUUUAGAAGGCCUUCGGGUUGUAAAAAUCUUUUCUAUGGGAAGAAAAUGACAGUACGAUAGGAAUAGGGACCGGCUAAUUACGAGCCAGCAGCCGCGGUAAUACGAAAGGUCCGAGCGUUGUCCGGAAUCCUUGGGCGUACAGGGUACGUAGGCGGGUAAGCAAGUUAGAAGUGAAAUCCUAUAGGUCAACUAUAGUAAGCUGUUAAAACUGCUCAUCUUGAGGUAUGGAAGGGAAAGAGGAGUUCCUAGUGUAGCGGUGAAAUGCGCAGAUAUUAGGAGGAAUACCGGUGGCGACGGCGACUUUCUGGCCAUAACCUGACGCUGAGGUACGAAAGCGUGGGUAGCAAACAGG
rnacentral:rRNA from 1 species